GACGAACGCUGGCGGCGUGCUUAACACAUGCAAGUCGAACGGAAAGGCUCCAGCUUGCUGGAGUACUCGAGUGGCGAACGGGUGAGUAACACGUGGGUAAUCUGCCCUGCACUCUGGGAUAAGCCUGGGAAACUGGGUCUAAUACUGGAUAUGACCUUUCUCCUUAUGGGGUUUGGUGGAAAGUUUUUCGGUGUAGGAUGAGCCCGCGGCCUAUCAGCUUGUUGGUGGGGUGAUGGCCUACCAAGGCGACGACGGGUAGCCGGCCUGAGAGGGUGAUCGGCCACAUUGGGCCUGCGGUACGGACCAGAAUCGUACGGGAGGCAGCAGGGGGGAGUAUUGCACAGUGGGCGGAAGCCUGAUGCAGCGACGCCGCGUGAGGGAUGACGGCCUUCGGGUUGUAAACCUAUUUCAGCAGGGACGAAGCGUAAGUGACGGUACCUGCAGAAGAAGCACCGGCUAACUACGUG
rnacentral:rRNA from 1 species